AUUGAACGCUGGCGGCAUGCCUUACACAUGCAAGUCGAACGGCAGCUCGGGUGCUUGCACCUGGUGGCGAGUGGCGAACGGGUGAGUAAUAUAUCGGAACGUACCUUAUUGUGGGGGAUAACGCAGCGAAAGCUGUGCUAAUACCGCAUAAUCCCUAAGGGGGAAAGCGGGGGACCGUAAGGCCUCGCGCAAUUAGAGCGGCCGAUACCUGAUUAGCUAGUUGGUGAGGUAAAGGCUCACCAAGGCAACGAUCAGUAGCUGGUCUGAGAGGACGAUCAGCCACACUGGGUCUGAGACACGGCCCAGACUCCUACGGGAGGCAGCAGUGGGGAAUUUUGGACAAUGGGGGCAACCCUGAUCCAGCAAUGCCGCGUGAGUGAAGAAGGCCUUCGGGUUGUAAAGCUCUUUUGUCAGGGAAGAAACAGCAGCUCUAACACAGUUUGCGAAUGACGGUACCUGAAGAAAAAGCACCGGCUAACUACGUGCCAGCAGCCGCCGUAA
rnacentral:rRNA from 1 species